AUUGUUGUAUCUUGUUAUACUGUAUACUUAUUAAUUUGCAAUUUAAUUAGAUCUAUAUCUUACAAUACAAAAACUCGCAUUUAUAAAUAAAUACGACUCAUCACUGUAUGAGUUGAUACGAAUUGAAAUAAACACGUGUUUCCGCUUUGGUGUAAACAUGAUGGUGAUCCAAAAUCUGAACGUCAAUUUUCAUGAUUAUUUCACGACGAAGAUCAUCACAUCAAUGAAUCAAAUAAUACGAACAUGCCUUUGGUAUUAGCAGGGUGCUUUCAGCAUUGCAACAAUACUUUCAUCUGUGAAUACCCACUUUCUAAGCCCACCAUGAACUACGAAGGUUAAUUAAUAUGUAAGGACACCAAUGAACAGACACUUUUCAAUUAUCCUACAUCAUAUACAUGGGUGGUCAAACUCACUGGAUGGUUUAUCAACACUCCCAUGCUCACGAACAGCCUUGCGCCAGGAAUUUUGCCCUGAAGUGACAUUGCAGUCUAUUGUCUCCUUUUUUUUUACAACCCUGGCAGCCAUGCAGGAUAGAAGCUGAUCACUUGUACUUGACAGCAAAUAAUAAUGUCUUGGACAAGUCAAAGAAUUUCCUCCGGUCUUACAGAGAAAUGACAGUUGAUAAAAGAAUGGUGGACACAAAGUAAAAGUGCUCUUCAACAUUUUGUUGAAGAUUUCAGUCUGAUUUGGAAUUCAUCUUGCAAUAUUUCUGUAUUUGUAUAUUUGGAUAUAAGCGACAAAUUUUCAACUUAUUGACUAAACAGUUUUGCAUUUAAUAUUGCCAAUGCUAUCUAUUAUUAUUAUUUCCCUCCAAGAUAACAUGUCAAGUCUUUAUUGUACCCCUUAAGCUCUGUUAUACCAGAAAAAUCUUGUAAUGAAAUCAUUUAGUUUUUUUUUCUUGUUAAAUUAAAUCCAUGAAAAUAAAGAUUAUUUUUAAUGUCAUCAAGAGAAUGGAUUUCUUGUUUAACAAAAAGAUAGUAUACAUGU